rnacentral:rRNA from 1 species
UGAGGAAUAUUGGUCAAUGGUCGUGAGACUGAACCAGCCAAGUAGCGUGCGGGAUGAAGGCCCUCCGGGUCGUAAACCGCUUUUAGACGGGGAUAAAAGGGCAUACGUGUAUGCCGUAUUGCAUGUACCGUCAGAAAAAGGACCGGCUAAUUCCGUGCC